rfam:Callithrix jacchus chromosome 17, whole genome shotgun sequence
GAAAAGGCUUUAUUUAAAAUAAAGCCAUCUAUUUUAAAAUAACAUAAUUAU